AUGCCACCUGCUCAAAACGUCAUCUGGGAUUCGCUGGCUAUAGGAACCGAGCUUCUGCUGUUUGGGGAGGGCUGGCGGAUGAGAUAUAGCAUCCUUACCAAUUCAUGGACAGGGCUAGUGGAUGAGAUGAACACCCCGCGGUUCUCGUUUGGAUCAGCAAGUGUUGGCGAAAAGGCGUAUGUCGUGGGAGGCGCUGAUUAUUCUCGUAAUGUAUUGAGCUCCGCAGAGAUGUAUGACUCAGAGGCACAUACUUGGACACCCCUUCCCAGCAUGAAUAGGGCUAGGUACAAAUGCUCUGGCGCAUUCAUGGAUGGCAAGUUCUAUGUGAUCGGUGGUCUUAACAGUAGCCACGAGGUAUUGACAUGCGGUGAGGAGUAUGACUUGAACCGGCGGUCAUGGAGGGUCAUCGACAACAUGUCUCAGGGGCUCAACAAUAUAGCCAUGGGUGUUCCUCCGCUCAUUGUAGUUUUGAAGAAUGAGCUUUAUGCCGCUGAUUACAGUGAGAAUAAUGAGUUGAAACAGUAUGAUAAGCUGGACAAUAAGUGGACCACUCUUGGAAAAUUGCCUGUACAGUCUAAGAACAAAGAUGGCUUGGACAUGGGUUUCCAAGCGUGUGGUGACCGGCUGAUCGUAAUUGGGCCUCCAAAGAAUUCUAGUGAUGAAAAGGUGGUUGAGCUUCAUUCAUGGACCCCGGAUGGGCAACCGCCUGUGUGGAAUUUGUUUGCCACACGGUCAUACAGGGGUAACUGGAUUGCGAGCGCCGUGAUGGGUUGCUGA
rnacentral:rRNA from 1 species